rnacentral:snRNA from 1 species
UUAACCAACUGGCAAAAAAUGUG